rnacentral:lncRNA from 1 species
GUAGUCCCAGCUACUCGGGAGGCUGAGGCAGGAGAAUGGUGUGAACCCGGGAGGCGGAGCUUGCAGUGAGCCGAGAGCGCGCCACUGCACUCCAGCCUGGGUGACAGAGCGAGACUCCGUCUCAAAAAAAAAAAAAAAAGAAAAACUUCUCUUUAGGCUGGGUGCGGUUCCUCAUGCCUAUAAUCCCAGCAUUUAGGGAGGCUGAGGUGAGUGGAUUGCAGGAGCUCAGGAGUUCGAGACCAGCCUGGGCAAGGUGGCAAAACCCCGUCUCUACUAAAAAAAAUUAGCUGGGCUUGGUGGCAGGCGCCUGUAAUCCCAGGUACUCGGGAGACUGAGGCAGGAGAAUUGCUUGAACCUGGAAGGUGGAGGUUGCAGUGAGUUGAGAUCACACCAAUGCACUCCAGCCAGGGUGAGAGUGAGAGACUGUCUCAAAAAAAAAAAAAACAAAAGAAAAACUUCUCUCUAGCUCUGUGACGGGCAGUUCAGAUAAUACCUUCACCAGAUUUACCUGUUUUCAGCUGAAGAAUGUGAGAUGAAGCCUUGAAACCCUAAAAGUGAUAUGGUAACUAGGGCAGGUCUUUCUGUACAUAAAAGUGACUUAAUAAACAGUGAAUUUCAUACAGGUAAACCCUAUUAUACCCUCAGUUCUAACCAUUGGCCUAUCUCUUGCGUUUUGUUCUAAUGUAGAAUUAGAUUGCUACUUGACUAGUUCAGGAACUCUGUUUAGAUCUGAUAAGUCAUAAUCAAAUCUUGCCAGGCGUGGUGGUUUAUGCCUGUUAUCCCAGCACUUUGGGAGGCCAAGGCAGGUGGACCACGUGAAGUCAGGAGUUCAAGACAAGCAUGGCCAACAUGGCGAAACCCUGUAUCUACUAAAAAUACAAAAAUUAGCCGGGCAUGGUGGUGGGUGCGUGUAAUCCCAGCUAGUUGGGAGGCUGAGGCAGGAGAAUCACUUGAACCUGGGAGGCAGAGGUUGCAGUGAGCCGAGAUUUCCACUGCAUUCCAGCCUGGGCGAUAGAGUAACUCUGUCUCAAAAAAACCCACUAGAUCAUCUCUAGAACAUUGCUACUCCCAAGUAUGAUUUGAGGAACAGCAGCCUCAGUAUCACCAGGGAACUUAUUAGAAAUAGUCUCAGCCUCACCACUAUUCCCACUUAAUUGUAAUCUGAUAUUAACAAGAUUUCCCAAUGUGGGUCAGGUGUGGUGGCUCAUGCCUGUAAUCCCACACUUUGGGAGGCCAAGGUGGGCGGAUCACUUGAGGCUGGGAGUUUGAGACCAGGCUGGCCAACAUGGGGAAAACCCAUCUCUACAAAAAAUAACAAAAAUUAGGUGUGUGUGGUGACGCAUGCGUGUAAUCCCAGCUACUUAGGAGGCUGAGGCAGGAGAAUCACUUGAAUCUGGGAGGCAGAGGUUGUAGUGAGCUGAGAUUGUGCCACUGCACUCCAGUCUGGGCAACAGAGUGACACUGUUUAAAAAAAAAAAAAUUCCCAAUGUGGGCCGGGUGCAGUGGCUCAUGCCUGUAAUCCCAGCACUUUGGGAGGCUGAGGUGGGUGUAUCACGAGGUCAAGAGAUCAAGGCCAUCCUGGCCAACAUGGUGAAACCCCGUCUCUACUGAAAAUACAACUGGGCGUGGUGGUGCACGCCUGUAGUCCCAGCUACUUGGGAGGCUGAGGCAGAAGAAUUGCUUGACCUGGGAGGCGGAGCUUGCAGUGAGCCCAGAUCGUGCCACUGCACUGCACCCUGGCGACACAGCAAGACUGUCUCAAAAAAAAAAAAAUUCCCAAUGUGUAUCUUAAAGUUUGAGAAAUGCUGAUCUAAAAGAUACUAAUGACCAGGUGUGUAGAGGACAUUUUCUUAAGCCCUUAAGUACAAAUUUAAGAGGUAAGUGCUUCAGCCAUUAGGGUUACUGGCUU